CACCAAGUGAGGAAGCCUGAGAAGGUGCCAUCUAUGGAGCAUAGAACGAGCCAUCACCAGACACCAGAUCUGCUGGCACCUUGAUCUUGGACUCUCCAGAUUCUAGAACGAUUUGAGUAACAUAACGUUGCUAAAUCAGAGAAAGAGGCAGCUGCCCCCAUCCUUUCAAGACUCGCAACUCUCCUGUGCUGAGGCAGGUUGGAUUACAUCUGAAAAUCUUCCCCUUGGAUAUUAUGCUUCCAAAGCAGAAACCUUUUAAUACAGGAAUUCGUGCUCAAAUGGUUAUAAGACAAUCAGGAAAAGAAGUAAAAAUGUGGCAUCGUUUACUGCGAUUCUAAUUUCAAAUGGAAUCAAGUUUUCCAAAUAGUAAGAGAAGCCUGUAGGUUAAUUGCUCAGAAUGAAAUUGUCCCAGAAGCUUCCGUCUCUUCUAGGAGCAUAUGAAGUAAUGUGUAUUUUGGAAAUGUGUUCCACGGACAGUAAAGAGAGGAAAGAAGUGAACUGGAUCUUCUGGCCCCGGAACCUCGGCUUAAUGGCUUGCUCAGCACUGCUAAUAGGUAAAUACCAACAAGCAUGAUUGCUGGAUCAUGUGAUACGAGUAUAUUUAAUUUUGUAAGAUACUACCAAACUGUCUUCUAAACUGCCAGUGCCAUUUUGCAUUCUCAUGAGCAAUGAAUGAGAGUCCCUGUUGCUCCACAUCCUCGUCAGCAUUUGGUGUUAUCAGCAUUCUGGAUUUGGGCCAUUUUAACAGGACUACCAGAAUCUUGGAACAUGAUGGGAGGUGGGACUUUGAAUCUUGAGAAAAUGAGCCAAAACAAAGGGACAUUGGCUGCAUACUAUUCUCAUGUUCUGGAGGCUGGGAUGUUCAAGAUCAAGGAACCAGCAAGUUUGACUUCUGGUUCAUCAUAGAUGGCUUCAUCUAGGUAUCUUCAAAUGGCAGAAGAACAAAAAGCAGAAGAAAACAAACCCACUGCCUCAAGACCUUUCAUAAGGACCCCAAUCCCAUCCCUGAGGGCUCUGCCCUUGUGACUUAAUAACCUCCUAAAUGUUCCACCUUUUAAUACUAUUACAUUGGUGAUUAAGUUUCAAUAUAUGAAUUUUGGAGGACACAUUCAGACUAUAGCAAAUGUCUAAAAGUUAAUAUGUCUAAAUCCAAACUCCUAAUUUCUACCCCUAAGCCUCCUCCUCCAGCAGUCUUUCCCAUCUCAGUAAAUAUAGUAAAUACAGCUCCAGCCUUCCAGGUGCUCAGGCCAAAAGACUUGGUACUUGCAGAUAGUGAUUUGGGAAUAAAAGGAA
rnacentral:lncRNA from 10 species